rnacentral:lncRNA from 1 species
UGACCCUGUUCCAUGUUCUCUCUCUAUUCCUUGUUUCCCUUACGCCAUCUAUCUCCCAUUCUCUCCAUCUCGUCUGCCUGAACUCCUCCAAAUCAUCUCCAAGGACCCAUGUCUCCAAAUCCCCCUUCCUUCUGUCUAAACCUGUGCCCAUCUUUUCGAACCCAUCUGAACCUGGCAACAAUAGCAAGAGGCCGACAUUGAUCUUUCCAUCCUCCUUUCCAAAUUGAAAGAAAUCAUCAGCCUCUUCCAGUUCAUCUCCGAGCCCAAGGCCAAGUACCAGCAACUCCUCCACUAUAGCACCCAGCUUCCUCCUCUCAACCUCCGCCCACAAAUCCUAGCAACCCGUCGCCUAAUCAUAG